GCUCCGGUGGCUUAGUGCUUAAAGCGUCUGCUUUGGAUGCAGUAGGUCUCGGGUUCGAACCCGAAUUGAAUCA